rnacentral:rRNA from 1 species
UCGGCAAUGGGCGAAAGCCUGACCGAGCGACGCCGCGUGAGCGAUGAAGGCCAUUAGGUUGUAAAGCUCUGUCGAGGGGGAACAAGCCGCAAGGUUGAGUGAUCCCUGGAGGAAGCACGGGCUAAGUUCGUGCCAGCAGCCGCGGUAAGACGAACCGUGCGAACGUUGUUCGGAAUCAUUGGGCUUAAAGGGCGCGUAGGCGGGUGUUCAAGUCCGGGGUGAAAGCCUCCAGCUCAACUGGAGAAGAGCCCCGGAUACUGUUCACCUGGAGAGAGAUAGGGGCACAUGGAACUUCCGGUGGAGCGGUGAAAUGCGUAGAGAUCGGAAGGAACGCCGGUGGCGAAAGCGAUGUGCUGGAUCUUUUCUGACGCUGAGGCGCGAAAGCUAGGGGAGCAAACGGGAUUAGAUACCCCGGUAGUCCUAGCCCUAAACGAUGGGUACUGGGUUGCGGGUCAGACAUAGACUCGCAGCCGAAGCAAAAGUGUUAAGUACCCCGCCUGGGGAGUAUGGUCGCAAGGCUGAAACUCAAAGG